rnacentral:piRNA from 1 species
UGCAAAGUGGGAUGUGCUAGACACUUACAGU